ensembl:lncRNA
AGGCAGGCAGCGGAACCACUGAGCUAAAUUCCCAGCCCCUAUCCAAUUUCUGUUGACUCAAAGAAUGCACUGGUGAAAUCACUGGGACUGAGUAUUUGCUCUGUGGAAGGUUUAAACCCAUUCAAAUUGUGCUUGCUGCUCGCUUUGGCAGCACAUAUACUAAAUCCAUUCAAAUUAUUUAAUUUUCAGGCUUUUUAUAUUUUUCUUCAGGCAGUUCUGGCAAAAUAUAUUUCUCUAGGAAUCUAUUUUUUUCUCUCUUUUUUUUUUUUCUUUGUGUGGAACAGGGGAUAGAACCCAGGGCUUUGUGGUUCCUGGGCUCUACAACUGAGCUGUAUCUUCAGCUCUGCAAUCUAUUAAUUUUCUAUAAGUUCUCAUAUCUACUGACAGUUAGUGUAAUAACUCUUAUCUAUUUAUUCUCUAGCAUAUUGGGCACAAUGUGUUUUUUGUAUCUCUUCUAAUAUUAUUUAUGCAUUCUGUGUUUUGGGGUUUUUUUUGGUACCAGGGAUCAAACUUGGGACCUUGUGCUUGCAAGGCAGGCAGCAGAACCACUGAGCUAAAUCCCAGGCCCUCCUUCCUUCUAUUUCCCUUAGGUUUAUUCUUUUGAGUUUCUAACUUCUAAGUUCCUUAUUUUGAGACUUUUUUAAUGGUUUUUUUGAGAUAGGGUCUCAGCAUGUAGUUCAGGCUGGCCUUGAACUCACUAUGUAGCUCAGGCUGGCCUUGAACUUGUGCAGAUCCUCCUGUCAAGUGCUGGCAUUACUAGCAUAUUUUGAGUCUUAGUUAUUUCUUAAUGUAAACACUACUCUUAUAAAUUUCCUCCUAAGUACUACUUUAGUUGUAUCUCAUAGGUUUUUUGUUUUGUUUUGGUACUGGGGAUCGAACUCAGGUCCUUGCACUUGCAAAGCAGGCAGCGGAACCACUGAGCUAAAUCCCUGGCCCCUCAUAGGUUAUGAUAUACAUUAUUCUCAUCAUUUAUUUUUAAGAAUUUUCUAAUUUCUAUUAUGAUUUCUUCUUUGACCCACGUUAUUGAACGUGCAUUUAAAAAUUUUCCAAACAUACAUUUUCUCCCCUGUAAUUAUCCUUUUUUGUAACUGGUUUCUAAUUUAAUUGCAUUUAGAUAUUUGUGAGGCUAACUUUAUAGUUGGGCACGUGAUCAAUUUUUUGGAAAUGUUCCAUGUGUACUUGAAAAGACAGUUUAUUCUCUAAUUGUUAGAAAUAAUGUUAUUUCUAUUAAGCCAGAUUAUUAAUUGUGGUAUUCAAAAUAUUUUAUAUGGGGGUAUAGCUCAGGGGCAGAGCAUUUGACUGCAAAAUAUUUUACAUAGUUCAUGACUUUGGUGGUCUAUUUGAACUGUCAAAUACUGGAGGAGUUUGUUAAUAUACCCCCUAUGAUAAUGGAUUAAUCAAUUUUUGCUUUUAUGUAUUUUAUAAAAGGCUUUAAAUUUUUAAAUUUUAUGUACAAAAAUCUAGUAUGGUCUUUUCCUUUGGGUGGAUGUCUAGGAUGAUCCACUGGAGGAAGAUAACUUAAUACAACUUCCUUAUAUCCUUCAAGUACUGAUGGAAAACUCCUGGUCAUAUUUCUAAAUCAGACAGAUAGAUUUGAGCAAAUGCAGCAAGAGCAUGAACCCUGGUGAAAUUUUUCAACACAUAAUGCUGGGAGAACUGAGUAUCAACAUGCAGAGAAUGAAGUUGAACCCUUACUUCACACUAUGUGCAAAAAGUAACUCAUGUAGAUCAGUGACAUAAAGCAGGCGGCGAAUGCUUCUGUUUUUUGGAGGAGCUCCAGUUUUCACUUUCACCUUUGACAUCAUCUCCUGGCUUCCAGCACAGACUCUUCAGUUUCUGGCUUCUGGUGUAAACUCUUCAGCCUUCCAUUGCAGACACAUCAGCCUCCUGAUAUGGACUCGAAAGGGACAUUGCAGUGAGCUCCAGACCUUCGAUACCAGGGAUAGAACUGAGGACCUUGUGCUUUCGAGGCUCUCGCUAUGUAGUUCAGGCUGGUCUUGAACUCGUGGCAAUCCUCCUGCCUCAGGCACUCCAGUGCUGGGAUUACAGGUCUACGCCACCAAGCCCGGCUAAACUUCUCUUUAUUGACAAAAGAGAUAGAGGAGGAAGCACAGACAUGUACAGAUGGGGAGAGAUCCUUAGAAGGGAAGACCUCCUUUGGUUAGCUUUGCGAUCUGGCUAGAAUUGGUUUGGCUGGCAGAACCUACACCGGGCGAAGGACGCAUGAAAUCCGAAGAGGAGGCAGUAGCUAACAAAAAUGAGUCUUUCCUAUAACUUUGGCACUUUUCUUGCUGCUGUGUUAUCACAUGAUUUAUUCAUACCCACCCAAUAAAAGGAAG